rnacentral:misc_RNA from 1 species
AAGUCGUAACAAGGUCUCCGUUGGUGAACCAGCGGAGGGAUCAUUACAGAGUUGCAAAACUCCCACAAACCAUCGCGAAUCUUACCCGUACGGUUGCCUCGGCGCUGGCGGUCCGGAAGGCCCUCGGGCCCCCGGAUCCUCGGGUCUCCCGCUCGCGGGAGGCUGCCCGCCGGAGUGCCGAAACCAAACUCUUGAUAUUUUAUGUUUCUCUGAGUAAACUUUUAAAUAAGUCAAAACUUUCAACAACGGAUCUCUUGGUUCUG